rnacentral:lncRNA from 1 species
AGGGUGCAAGAGGAGCUGGACGCGGUGGUUGGAGGUGGUGCGCGCGCUUUGAAGGAGGAGGACGUGGCGGCGACGGCGUAUCUUCUGGCGGUGGUGAAGGAGGUUCUGAGGCUGCACCCUCCAGGCCCGCUUCUCUCGUGGGCCCGCUUGGCCAUCACCGAUACGACCAUUGAUGGGUAUAACGUGCCCGCGGGAACCACCGCCAUGGUUAAUAUGUGGGCCAUAGGAAGGGACCCGGAGGUGUGGCUGGACCCACUUGAUUUCAAGCCCGAGAGGUUCAUGGGCCUGGAGGCGGAGUUUUCUGUUCUCGGGUCGGAUCUGAGGCUGGCUCCAUUCGGGUCGGGUAGAAGAACCUGCCCCGGAAAGACUUUGGGUUUGAG